GGUUGUGGCUCAGUGGUACAGCACUUGCCUAGCAUGUGUGAGGCACUGGGUUUGAUUCUCAGCACCA
rnacentral:tRNA from 1 species